GCUAGAAAGAGAUGGAAUAGACAGAAUAGAUUCGAUAGAAAAGGAAAAAAAUAUAAUAGAAAAAGAAAUGAAGUAAAAAAAAUUGUGGGAUUUAUUUUUUUUUUUGAGGGGAAGAAAUGGAAUACACAACGGAACAGGUGAACUACCCGUGGGUAAAUGAAAUUACCACAUGAUUUCAAUGAAUAAUUCAUCGGCUUGAUAAAUAAUUCUUUUAAUUGACGGUAAAUUUGUUGAAUGGGUUCACUGGGCCAGAGGUGAAUUAAUCGGCUGGGGGUGAAUGAGUUUUUUUUUUUUUUGUAAUGGAGUGUUUUGAUGACGGACAUUACGAUUCAACGGUUUAUUUGGUACGAGUGGAGGUUCAAUCAUGCGGGCACAAUGACGUCCUUCGGAUGGAGUCAAGCACUUCCGGUGAUGAUUUACGGUGCGGUGGAGAUAGGAGUUGGUGGGUCAUUCAACGCUGGAUUUUGGUUUUGUGGUGUUUCAUGGCAAUUUAGGACAGCUCCAGGUGAAUCCAUUGAGCUGGAGUCAUUGGAAUUGAUGAAAUGAAGAUUUAAAUGAGGUGGAGAAAUUUUGUAAACAGUUCUUUGCGAUUAUUGAGGACACAGGAACAUUUAGAGAUGAUUAGAUUCAAUUGAGAUUGACAGAAAGCAGCUCCUCCAAAAACUUUUCUAUUUGUAAUAAUUAAUGAUGUGUCCAGAGAUCGUUGGGGUAAACGGCCAAUGUAAAUAGACGGUUGAGUGAGUUUUAAUUGAAAGUGACUGGAGAGAUUUUUUAAAUCGAUGAUUAAUGAUGAAAAAUCGGAUUAUGAAGGCAAAAGGAAAUUGUUGAGGUAUUGCGAUAUUGACCUUGAAACGAAAACCCGAAUUUUUGGG